GGAGGCUCUUGCUCCCAGUAAACGACACGCCAGGCUGCGGAGGCCGCCGUCCCGGAGAGCCUCGAAGUCAUUGUGCCCAGCGAAACGACGGCAGCUGUCAAGGCGCAGGUCGCCGGGCCGCGGGCGGGUAGAGAGGAGGGCCAGCAGUCCCGGCCCGCCUGCAGCGCCCGGCCGCCUGUCGGGCCCCGCCGCGCCAGGACGGGCGCGAGGCCUGCGGAGCUGGAGCUGCCUCCGGAGCCAGAAGCCCAGGCGGGCGCCAUGCUAAAAACCAAAAUGGCUGCCCCAGGGAAAGAAACCCAUUUCGGGCCGUGACGGGUUGCGCCUCCAACGGCCUCGCCGGCCGGCGACGCCGCUUCCCCCGCGGGAACUCGCCCAGAAAUACUCUUCUUGAUUCCAUACUGAAAUCUACUGCUGCGAUCAACAAAAAUGAUAAAAUUUUUUCUUAUGGUAAACAAACAAGGUCAAACAAGGCUUUCUAGGUAUUAUGAGCAUGUAGAAAUUAAUAAACGGACCAUGCUGGAAACUGAAGUAAUCAAAAACUGCCUUUCCCGUUCAAAGGAUCAGUGCUCUUUCAUCGAGUACAAGGACUUCAAGCUGGUGUACCGACAGUAUGCAGCCCUUUUUGUAGUCGUUGGAAUCAACGAGACAGAGAAUGAGAUGGCAGUAUAUGAACUAAUUCAUAAUUUUGUGGAAGUUUUGGACAAAUACUUCAGCAGAGUGAGUGAAUUAGAUGUAUCCUUUUCAGUAUUAGAAAGCCAUUUGUCUCUUUUUGGUGUGUGUUCCAGUUCAUACUGUCCUCAUUGCACUGACUGUCCAACAGUCAAGUCAACGCAGAGGUUUCACAAAUUUUGCUCUUACAGUAAGUACCACCAGUUUGGCACCUUUCUGAAAGCACAGCUGACAUCCAUGAGGGGCACCUAUUUCAGUUCUCAGUCAUUAAGAGUAAGCUGAUACAUUAAGAGAAGGCUGAGACAGGGAUGCCUUGCCUAGAGAGAAGUAAGUACCAUUAACACCUAGAUGUGAAAAGUUUAUUCAUGGUGGAACUUUCAGCCUUAACUACUACUUCUUUUUUUUUUUUUCCUGAGUUUACAAUAAAAUAGCUACUGAAAUGGCCACAGUAAGAUCUGAACAUUACAGCUGUGUCUUGAACCAAAUAGCAGUAGCAUCAUUGCAAAAUUAAGUUUGUGCUGUGAUCUUCCUUCAUGAAUGUCCAGAUCAUGUUCAAUUUGGACAGAGUGCACAUCAUUUUGGAUGAAAUGGUGCUAAAUGGCUGCAUUGUGGAAACAAACAGGAACAGAAUUCUUGCCCCUCUCUUUGUGCUUGACAAAGUGACAGAAAGCUAGGAGGAUGCACAACUGGCUGAGGCGUUGUACGGAAAAUGGUGAAACCAUCCAGAGUGAACCAACAGCAGUUCUUUGGUGUCAUAGGACUGACUCAUGCAAUAGUCAAACUAGCUGGAAAAUGUUUCCCGUUUCUCCUAUACACCCCAAGUACCAAAUGGAAAGAUACAGCUACACAUCAGGGGGAACCUUCAGUUUCAUAUGCAGCUUUAUUGUCCCAGCAGAAAUCUUUCUACAACAGUCAACAUUUGUUAAAACUGACUGAGGAUGAAGUAAUGGCAACUUAUAUGUGACCACCUAGGUAUCCCUUUGAAUUAUGCAGUAUUGUGCCAGACCUAGAAGACAGAAAACUUGGAAUUACACAUCUGAGUUUCAGUGCUUCCUUUAAGCACCUACUUGAUCCUUUUGUUUUCAUACAAAAAUAUUGUAAAAUUCUGUAACUUUUAUGGCCACUUUUAAACUAGAUUCAUCCAUCAUCAAAAAGAUGCUUUCACUCCCUUUUCCAGGAAGUCAGGGUUAUAGAAACAGAAAUGUAACAGAAGUAUAGAUGUGUUGAAUAUUCCUGCAUACUGUGUUAAGUUGUAACUAGAAGUAUUUGGCACUUCAAUAUUAUGUUAAUAAAAGACAACUAAAAUAAAAAGUUUUAUCAUCUUU